rnacentral:rRNA from 1 species
CAGCAGCCGCGGGAAUACGUAGGGUGCGAGCGUUAAUCGGAAUUACUGGGCGUAAAGCGUGCGCAGGCGGUUUGUUAAGACAGAUGUGAAAUCCCCGGGCUCAACCUGGGAACUGCAUUUGUGACUGGCAAGCUAGAGUGUGGCAGAGGGGGGUGGAAUUCCGCGUGUAGCAGUGAAAUGCGUAGAUAUGCGGAGGAACACCGAUGGCGAAGGCAGCCCCCUGGGCCAACACUGACGCUCAUGCACGAAAGCGUGGGGAGCAAACAGGAUUAGAUACCCCCGUAGUCCCUGUCUCUUAUAC